rnacentral:rRNA from 1 species
GACGAACGCUGGCGGCGUGCUUAACACAUGCAAGUCGAGCGGAGAAUAUAGCAAUAUAUUCUUAGCGGCGGACGGGUGAGUAACGCGUGGGUAACCUGCCUUUUACAGGGGGAUAACACUGGGAAACUAGUGCUAAUACCGCAUAACAUAGCGAAAUGGCAUCAUUUUGUUAUCAAAGGAGUAAUCCGGUAAAAAGAUGGACCCGCGUCCGAUUAGCUAGUUGGUGAGGUAAAGGCCCACCAAGGCGACGAUCGGUAGCCGAACUGAGAGGUUGAUCGGCCACAUUGGGACUGAGACACGGCCCAGACUCCUACGGGAGGCAG